rnacentral:tRNA from 1 species
CAGGGAGACAACAAAAUGUUUAAUUUUAUUAUUUUGUCACCUUAGGUCGAUCGGUAUCUCACGUUCUUAAUUUAUUAAGAAUUUCAUUUCCUAAGUUUUUCUAGGUCACACCCAUUAUUUUUCCUGGGCCAUUAGCUCAGGUGGUUAGAGCGCACCCCUGAUAAGGGUGAGGUCCCUGGUUCAAGUCCAGGAUGGCCCAUAUCUCUAUGUUGGGGGUAUAGCUCAGUUGGUAGAGCGCCUGCUUUGCAAGCAGGAUGUCAGCGGUUCGAGUCCGCUUACCUCCACUGAUUACCACCUCUUGCAUAAUCUUUAUUAAGGAAAAAUUUUUGAGCUGUGAUCAUAAGUCUGAACGAAUCUAGCUUCCUAAUGAAAUCAUUAAGAUGCUGGACUCAUUGAAUUAAUUUCAUUGUUUUCAGAGAACCUUGACAACUGCAUAGAUUAUUUUUAAAGACAAUAAGCAUCUUUAAUGAUGCAGAUUUAUUAUUUGUGCGAAUGCAUUAAUAACAAUUCUAUUAAGCUGAUGCUUCAAUUUUGAAGUUAUU